rnacentral:tRNA from 1 species
AGCCCUGGAUUGUGAUUCCGGUGGUCGCGAGUUCGAAUCUCGUUAGCCACCCCA